rnacentral:lncRNA from 1 species
AUCGAGGCAAGCCUGAUAAGCAGGCAAGAAGCAGCGAUAAGAAGAGAAAGAGCGCUUGCAUAUGCAUUUUCACAUCAGGUAGGAAUUCCUGCUCUCAGAACAUAUGCUAAUCUAUAUAUAUACUUGAUCCUGGCUAUACGGCGUAAAAUGUCUCGAAAUGUGUUUUUUACAGUGGAAGAGUACUUCAAGAUCUGUCAACCCAAUGUUUGUAGACCCAAACAACUUGCAGUGGGGCUGGAGCUGGUUGGAGCGCUGGAUGGCAGCAAAACCUUGGGAGGGCCGUAAUGGGGCUGACAAGGAGAGCAACUUUGACCGCGGAUCAGUUAAGAGUAUGAGCU